UGGGGAAUCUUGGACAAUGGGCGCAAGCCUGAUCCAGCCAUGCCGCGUGAGUGAAGAAGGCCUUCGGGUUGUAAAGCUCUUUUACCAGGGACGAUAAUGACGGUACCUGGAGAAUAAGCCCCGGCAAACUUCGUGCCAGCAGCCGCGGUAAUACGAAGGGGGCUAGCGUUGUUCGGAAUUACUGGGCGUAAAGCGCACGUAGGCGGAUUGUUAAGUCAGAGGUGAAAUCCCGGAGCUCAACUUCGGAACUGCCUUUGAUACUGGCAAUCUCGAGUCCGGAAGAGGUUAGUGGAAUUCCCAGUGUAGAGGUGAAAUUCGUAGAUAUUGGGAAGAACACCAGUGGCGAAGGCGGCUAACUGGUCCGGUACUGACGCUGAGGUGCGAAAGCGUGGGGAGCAAACAGGAUUAGAUACCCACGUAGUCCCUGAGCGGGCUGGCAAGGCGCAU
rnacentral:rRNA from 1 species